CGGGUUUCGCCAGUAAGAAAGAUCGACGACAUGAGUCCUACGUCCCAGGAAUGCUAAAUUGACUUUUUGCAUGAGAGUUCCUGGGAAAACCCGAGGCAGAUGAUUAUAAGCAGCUGGUGGCAAACGUCCUGAAGUCCUACGAAGCCCUCGGCUGAAGAUGGCGGUCUAGAUGUUAUUUGUCCGUGGAGCUGUGGAGAAGACAACCACAGGCGGGAGUGGAGUGGAAUCCAUCCAUGCAAAAAAAAGCCUCCUGAGAUGCCGACUAAGGAAGCCCCUCCUACUUUGAGAAGGGCUUCCAUGUAAAACCGUAUCUGGUCCGUCUAAGACAUGGAAGAAGUUGGAAGCAGGGAUGGGAGAAGGAGGCGCGAGGAGGCGUGCGCUGAUGCCACGCAGAUGCUGCGGAGGAAGCGUCAAACAAUGAGGGACGGACAGCACAGCGGCGAGGAUAAGAAGCGGAGUGGGUGCCGCUUUAAAGGCCCGAGCGCCGAUAUCGGACUUAAAGCGAGGAGUGGGAGCUCCGGCAGAGAUGUGGCGCAGCGGCGCCGUCCUACGCCGCAUCUGAUUGGACGGCGUGGGAAGAGCACAACAAUUCCCGGCCUGACAAUGAAGGCCAAGACGAGAGCGCGGCCGGAUUGCGCUUGUUCCCGGAUGGGAGUGGGCGGGAUUUGUCCGACUUUUCCCCCCCUCCCUAAUUGAUGCCGUUGAACACGGGGGGCCAGGAUGGAAUGGACUCCAGAGAUUGUCGCUUCCCAAACCGGCUUUUCUGCACCAUGCAAUACCCCCCCCCCCAACAACACCCAGCAUUCCCGCCAUUGGCCACCCUCUCUGCCCACACCUCGCCUGCUAAUGGCAUCACAAACAAGCGCUCCUUCACUAAAGGUCCCAUCUGGGUCCAUCCGUUUAGUUGUCUCCUUGUCUCCUUUCCUCUUCCCCUUACUUUACUUUACUACUUGUUCUCUCCCCUGUGUGUUAGUAAACAUACAUAACAUUAGCAUAGUGUAGCAUUAGUAAACAUAACAUUAGCAUAGUGUAGCGUUAGUAAACAUAACAUUAGCAUAGUAUAGCGUUAGUAAACAUAACAUUAGCAUAACAUAGUGUUAGUAAACAUAACAUUAGCAUAGUGUAGCGUUACUAAACAUACAUAACAUUAGCAUAGUGUAGCGUUACUAAACAUACAUAACAUUAGCAGAGUGUAGCGUUACUAAACAUACAUAACAUUAGCAGAGUGUAGCGUUACUAAACAUACAUAACAUUAGCAUAGUGUAGCGUUAGUAACCAUAACAUUAGCAUAGUGUAGCGUUAGUAAACAUAACAUUAGCAUAGUGUAACGUUAGUAAACACAACAUUAGCAUAGUGUAGCAUUAGUAAACAUAGCAUUAGCAUAGUGUAGCGUUAGUAAACAUAACAUUAACAUAGCGUAGCGUUUGUAAACAUAACAUUAGCAUCGUGUAGUGUUAGUCAACAUAACAUUAGCAUAGUGUAGCGUUAGUAAUCAACAUUAGCAUA